AUCCAUCCGAGAAAGGUCUUCCGGUCUUCAGACGUUUGUUUCCUUCUGAAGAGAAAGGACUAUGGAAGGUACAGAAAAAGUGUGCGCUGAAAAGUGUAGCAAAGAUUCAAAGAGCAGCUCGAAGUUAUGCGAGAAAAACAGACACUAUUUGGGGAGGAGAAAGCACCAUGUAUUGAUUUCUUACGCACGUCACUCGUGAGGGUGCGCGAUUUGCGACGGGGUAACGAGCCCGAGGGUGAGGGGGAAGGACAAUUUGGAGGAUUCACGCGCAAACGUGUCGCGUCGAAAGGACGAUAGUUGAAAGGAAGGGAUUGCUGUCUCACUCUUAUACACGCUUCUUAUGGACAUUGGGGCGCCAGCGGACCAAUGGAUGAUACAACAAGUGCUAUUGCCAAAAUGUAUCAUUUUGACGAUAGUCAAUUUGAAAGCCAGUGGCAAGUAAAUUGCCGAAACUUGACUCCGAAUGCUAUUCCAACAAUUUCUGCUGGCAGUAACGAUAGCUUAUCGUCAAAUAAACAGGAAGUAAAUAGUCCAGGAGAAACUGCAAUCGUUGAUAAGCUUGUUGAAAAUUUGAUUCCGGCAAAGUUAAAUGAUAUGAGAUAUGACAACGAUGAUGGUUAGCAAAUUUGCAAGAUGAAGGGAACAAGCAAAUGAAAACAAGCAUAACCGAUGGACCGAUGAAUAAUUCUGAUAUGCAAGAUACAACAUUCCAUACUUCUGAAAAUAGCACAAUUCGACAAACGAAUGAAAUGAAACAUUUGAAAUUACAACCGAAUGCUAUUACAACGAUGUGUGUCGACGUCAAAGGUAGCUCGACAGCGUUAAGAAAUCAGGAAGUAAACAGUCCAGAAGAAAAUGCGAUCGUUGAUAAGCCUGCUGAGAAUUUAGUUCCGGAAAAGUUAAAUGAUACGAGAUAUGACAAUGAUGAUGGAAUAGCAAGUUCCCAAGAUGAAGGGGACCAAUCAGUGCAAAUGGAAACAAGCAUAACCGAUGGACCGAUGAAUAAUUCUGACACACAAGCCACAAGAUUCCAUAGUUUUGAAAAUGGCACAAUUCGACAAGCGAAUGAAAUAAAACGUUUGAAACUACAAUUGAAGCAAGAGCGGCUGAAGAAUCAUACUUAUAAAUUAAAGUAUAAGAUAACAAAACAGUUGGCUCUAAAAUCAGUUCAGCGAUUUAAAUUUUACAAAAACAAUUAUUUUAUUUUGUUACGUGAAAAGGAGGUGCGUAACAACCGCAAUCGAGCACCGGUGUAUUUUAGAGCUUACUGUGACUGUGAUUGUGACUUAAAACUUCCGCGUAUGCCAUAUCCGAUACCCAGGUGUGUACAUACUGAAGAUCGCGAUGCAUACAUGAAAUUAUUGAAUGAGUGAAGGACGUACAAAUAGAUGUUAAUUUCCUCAAAAUUGAAAUGUCUCUUCUGAAAAAUGGCCAAACAGCAAAAAUGGCAAGACAGGAAAGUAAUGAGAAGAGGAUGGCGCAUAUGGAAGAGAAACUGAAUCACGUGGAUACGGUAGACCGAUCAAGUAAUGUGAUCUUAUACAACGUCACGGAGAGCGAUGAACUGAAUAAAAUUCUGCUAACAGAUUGUAAACCAAAGGAGUAUCUUGUGUAUCUAUUAUGCUUUAUUCAACAGCAUCGCCACUUGUGGGUUUAUUGGAUGGGUUCUUGUCUAUAAAAGUAAUAUAACAGAGUUGUGUAAUUUACAAAAGCGUCUACUUAAGAAUAUUGAAAAAUUCAAAAAUAAUGAACAUGCGAAUGAAAUACCAGUAGGAAUAAGGGAAACUUAUGUUUCGCAAUGUCUGGAAUAUAACUGGAAAAUGAAAGACUUGAAAGUAGCAGAUCAAUCACAAGGUAUAAAGGCUCGACGUUACAAGUGGAACUGAAAAUAGGAAAGAAAUUUCAUCGAUAUCAGGCAAUUUGGAAUUUCAAUCAUUUACCAAUAGAAAUUAAAAGUGAACAAACUUUUCUAAAAAAAAUUAUUUAUCAAUAUACCCGUAACAAUAUACACCAGUAAUCUUUCGAGAUGGAUCAAAAUUCUUAUUUUGUAAUUUUUUUUUGUUUUUUACAUAAUACUUUCCCUUACUGUCUUUCUUUAAAUCAGGCUUCCGCAGAGGUUAUCUUAUCCUACAGCGAAGUAUAUUGAAUGUACUUUGUACUUCCUGAGUACUUUACUUUGUUACGCCCACAGCACGUAACUACUAUACUGUAAAUGUAAUUGAUUGUGAAUAAAUAUGCCGAUGAAAAAAAAAAAAAAA